rnacentral:lncRNA from 1 species
UAUAUAUUUUUUCUCUUACAUUAAAGACAUAACAGUGAAAAAGGAUUGUACUGUAUUUAUCACCACAGACCCGUAUUCUUUAGAAACUUUGGAAAAUAAAUGUCACAGUCCUAUAGGACAGCUCUUAUGAUUAGACUGUCAGCAUGUUGUCUUUUUUCUCUCGCCUGGCCCCUGCCCUUGGGUCCCGGACAGCUGGUGGGAGCCAGAUCAGGAGCACGCCGGCAUCAUUCUGAAAUAAACUUUAGUGACAACGUCAAAAUGUUCAAGGCUUUAAAACCACAACGUGUUUUGUGUUGCUUUCACUCUUGUAGAAUGUUCACAGCUAGUUUGAGCCCAUCAAUUUCAUAGAGAA